AGUGAACGCUGGCGGCAGGCCUAACACAUGCAAGUCGAGCGGCAGCGCGGUGUAGCAAUACACUGGCGGCGAGCGGCGGACGGGUGAGGAAUACAUCGGAAUUUACCCAAUCGUGGGGGAUAACGUAGGGAAACUUACGCUAAUACCGCAUGAACUGGAGACAGCAAAGCGGCGGACCGAAAGGCGUCGCGCGGUUGGAUGAGCCGAUGUCGGAUUAGCAGUUGGCGGGGUAAAGGCCCACCAAGGCGACGAUCCGUAGCUGGUCUGAGAGGAUGAUCAGCCACACUGGAACUGAGACACGGUCCAGACUCCUACGGGAGCAGCAGUGGGGAAUAUUGGACAAUGGGCGCAAGCCUGAUCCAGCCAUGCCGCGUG
rnacentral:rRNA from 1 species